GAUGAAGAACGCAGCGAAAUGAGAUAAGUAAUGUGAAUUGCAGAAUUCAGUGAAUCAUCGAAUCUUUGAACGCACAUUGCGCCCGCCAGUAUUCUGGCGGGCAUGCCUGUUCGAGCGUCAUUACAACCCUCAGGCCCCCGGGCCUGGCGUUGGGGAUCGGCGGAAGCCCCCUGUGGGCACACGCCGUCCCUCAAAUACAGUGGCGGUCCCGCCGCAGCUUCCAUUGCGUAGUAGCUAACACCUCGCAACUGGAGAGCGGCGCGGCCAUGCCGUAAAACACCCAACUUCUGAAUGUUGACCUCGAAUCAGGCAGGAAUACCCGCUGAACUUAAGCAUAUCAAUAAGCGGAGGA
rnacentral:misc_RNA from 1 species